AGCAAAACUACCAUAUCCCUUCGCCCCCGCGCGCCCUCCAAGGAGGCCGGGAGGAAGCAGCCUCCUCGGCUGCCUAUCCCGCCGCCAGUGAGUCAGGCAGCUGGCAGGGCAGCGAGUUGCCAGUCAGAGAGAAAGAGAGAGAGCACAAGCAGCGGAAGCAGCAGGCAGAAGGAGAAGGCUCCCCACUGAGCAAGGAGCCCAACGUGGGACUCAAUCCCAGGACCCCAGGAUCAUGACCUGAGCCAAACGCAGACACCCAACCAAUUGAGCCACCCAGGUGUCCCAGGAAUUUGUGAUUUCAAUGCCAAAGUGAAACUAUUGAAAUGAUACAUUACCUAAUAGUCGUUGAACUACGCCACAGGAAAGUUCAAAUAGUGACAAAGUGCCUUGAUUCCAGCAGCGAUUCCCCCGUCUGCUUUCGCCUUGGGUUUCCAUUGUGACCAUUAACUGCUGAAACUGAGCCCAGAGCCCUUGAUCACAAGAUCUGAACGUUGCAAGGGAUCCUAAAGAGAAAGCCGGCUGAGAUGGAACACUGGAACACUAAGAAAGGCAGAGCAGAGAGAUGAAAGAGCCUGGGAUGUUGCCGGCUCUUUCCCUCUCCAUUCUUUGCACUGACACCUGUCCGGAAAUUGUUGUUGGGUAAAAAGAUGAACGUUUAAUUCAGUUAACUUAUACAUUGGGUUUUCGGUUGUUUCUACCUGAGCACAAUCUCCAACUGGUGCAUGAUGGAAGUGUGUUUCACACCUAUAUUGUGUCGCCUGGAUUCUUUGGAUUACAUCAUCACCGGCCCUGUCAUGAUACACAUUAAACCUUACCUCAAUCCCCAGCUCAGAAAUAAAAUUUUCUUCCUUCUGUAUGCCCGUUAAAUUCUGAGCUACUUGUAGGCCUUUAUUAUUUCCUCUUUUAUUUGGAAUUUUUUUUUAAAGAUUUUAUUUAUUUGACAGAGAGAGAGACACAGCGAGAGGGGGAACACAAACAGGGGGAGUGGGAGAGGGAGAAGCAGGCUUCCCGCGGAGCAGGGAGCCCGAUACGGGGCUCGAUGCGGGGCUCGAUCCCAGGACCCUGGGACCAUGACCUGAGCCGAAGGCAGAUGCCCAACGACUGAGCCACCCAGGCGCCCCUUUAUUUGGAAUUUUUAUUGUGGAUUGUAAAUUUCUCAAAAGCACAGUCUAUAACUUCCUUCCUUAUACAUAGAAAAACACUGAACGAAUGUUUACUGUGUUGGAUUAAAAUCCAUAAAACUCACUGUAUAGUUUUCUGUUGCCUGAGUUUCGUAUGAAUUAGUUUUAAUCGUCUUUAAAUUUGAUAUAGACAUAAAUGCAAUCCACACCACACUGAUUUGAGCUCCCACUGAUUCUGUCAGGAACCAGCACCCUCUGCUCUUCCCGAGUUUCUGUUUAUUGCCUCAGGGGUCUGUAGAAACAAGGCCACCUCCAUAUGGUUCUGCUAGGCCUCCUCAUUUCCCCCCUGAGCUGCUGCCUCUGCUCUUGCUGAUACUGCCAUUCUGCCAUUCCAGACUUGGGGGAGGAAAUGCUGUAUUCGCUACCUUUUCAGUCCAGACUGAGACACAGAACUUUUUCUAAUUACUCAUUGCACAAAGAAGAUGAGGGUAUGCCUUUAAAAAAAAAAAACAAAACAGCAG